rnacentral:tRNA from 1 species
ACCUGGCUGGCUCAGUUGGAAGAGCAUGUGACUUAAUCUCAGGGAUUGUGAGUUUGAGUCCCAUGUUGGGUG